CCUGUAAGACUGGGAUAACUUCGGGAAACCGAAGCUAAUACCGGAUAGGAUCUUCUCCUUCAUGGGAGAUGAUUGAAAGAUGGUUUCGGCUAUCACUUACAGAUGGGCCCGCGGUSCAUUAGCUAGUUGGUGAGGUAACGGCUCACCAAGGCAACGAUGCAUAGCCGCCCUGAGAGGGUGAUCGGCCMCACUGGGAYUGAGCCACGGCCCAGAYUCYUMCGGGAGGCASCAGUAGGGAAUCUUCCGCAAUGGACGAAAKUCUGASGGAGCAACGCCGCGUGAGUGAUGAAGGCUUUCGGGUGGUAAAAYUYUGUUGUUAGGGAAGAACAAGUACAAGAGUAACUGCUUGUACCUUGACGGUACCUAACCAGAAAGCCACGGCUAACUACGUGCCAGCAGCCGCGGUAAUACGUAGGUGGCAAGCGUUAUCCGGAAUUAUUGGGCGUAAAGCGCGCGCAGGUGGUUUCUUAAGUCUGAUGUGAAAGCCCACGGCUCAACCGUGGAGGGUCAUUGGAAACUGGGGAACUUGAGUGCAGAAGAGAAAAGCGGAAUUCCACGUGUAGCGGUGAAAUGCGUAGAGAURUGGAGGAACACCAGUGGCGAAGGCGGCUUUUUGGUCUGUAACUGACGCUGAGGCGCGAAAGCGUGGGGAGCAAACAGGAUUAGAUACCCUGGUAGUCCACGCCGUAAACGAUGAGUGCUAAGUGUUAGAGGGUUUCCGCCCUUUAGUGCUGCAGCUAACGCAUAAGC
rnacentral:rRNA from 1 species